UGCAGAGCUUGUGCUCAAAGAUCUGCACACAAAAACAUGCCUUGUGGCCCUUUUCACUCAAAAAGAACAGUUUUUGGUUUAGUUUUCCCUACAGCGUGGAUUUUGUAAACUGAAGUUGCCUCCACGGCCCUGACUGAGAGUCUCUUAAAAUGAAGUUUUCCUUGAUGUCUAGUCACUAGAGAUUUUCAUUAGCAUCCUGACACUUUGCCUCUCAAGUUAGUGCAUUUAUCAUCGUCCUUGUCUUUUGAAAGGGUCUCUGACUGUGGUUGGGAAGAGGAGCCUGGGGAGCGAGGGUGUCAGCGAGGUAAACACAGAGUGAUGCUGCUUCUGGCAAGGCCUUCCUUGCCUGAAAACCUGAUCUUCCUGAGCUGGGUGUUGUGUUUCUGUCUUUGUGUUUGAGAUGUCCCAAUGGACCUUUCCUUCAUGAGGAUGUUUAUAUACGUUUAUACUCAUUUAUACGUUUGAUGUCCCAAGCAUCCUAUUGAUAAAACUUUGUCUUCGGAGAACAAGACUUUCAUUUGUUCUAAACCUUAUUCCCGUUGCUACCGGUUGUGCUCCCCAGGUUAUGGAAAAUAAUAUGCACAUACACAUAUACACAUAACUUGAAAGGAAAAUAAUCUAUGAUAAUUUUCUUCAUG
rnacentral:lncRNA from 1 species